UGAGGAAUAUUGGUCAAUGGGCGAGAGCCUGAACCAGCCAAGUAGCGUGCAGGACGACGGCCCUAUGGGUUGUAAACUGCUUUUAUAUGGGGAUAAAGUGAGUUACGUGUAGCUUAUUGCAGGUACCAUAUGAAUAAGGACCGGCUAAUUCCGUGCCAGCAGCCGCGGUAAUACGGAAGGUCCAGGCGUUAUCCGGAUUUAUUGGGUUUAAAGGGAGCGUAGGCCGCCCCUUAAGCGUGUUGUGAAAUGCCGCGGCUCAACCGUGGCACUGCAGCGCGAACUGGGGGCGUUGAGUGCACGCAAC
rnacentral:rRNA from 1 species